rnacentral:rRNA from 1 species
GAUGAACGCUAGCGGCAGGCUUAAUACAUGCAAGUCGUGGGGCAGCACAGGUAGCAAUACUAGGUGGCGACCGGCAAACGGGUGCGUAACACGUACGCAACUUUCCUUUAAGCGGGGAAUAGCCCAGGGAAACUUGGAUUAAUACCCCAUAAAAUUUUGAGAUGGCAUCAUCUUAUUAUUAAAGCUUCGGCACUUAAAGAUGGGCGUGCGGCUGAUUAGGUAGUUGGCGGGGUAACGGCCCACCAAGCCUUCGAUCAGUAGCUGAUGUGAGAGCAUGAUCAGCCACACGGGCACUGAGACACGGGCCCGACUCCUACGGGAGGCAGCAGUAAGGAAUAUUGGUCAAUGGACGAAAGUCUGAACCAGCCAUGCCGCGUGAAGGAUGAAGGUCCUCUGGAUUGUAAACUUCUUUUAUUUGGGACGAAAAAAGGGUUUUCUAACUCACUUGACGGUACCAGAUGAAUAAGCACCGGCUAACUCCGUGCCAGCAGCC